CUGCCAAUGAUGACAUGACCACUGCGCAAUCUGAGUUCUGGGAACCAGGUGAUGGAGUGUGCUGAGAACAAGAAAA
ensembl:scaRNA Gm25443 predicted gene, 25443